rnacentral:rRNA from 1 species
UAUCGGAUUGAUACUAAGCCAUGCGAGUCAUUGUAGCAAUACAAGGCAUACGGCUCAGUAACGCAUAGUCAACCUAACCUAUGGACGGGAAUAACCUCGGGAAACUGAGAAUAAUGCCCGAUAGAACAUUAUGCCUGGAAUGGUUUAUGUUCCAAAUGAUUUAUCGCCGUAGGAUGGGACUGCGGCCUAUCAGUUUGUUGGUGAGGUAAUGGCCCACCAAGACUAUUACAGGUACGGGCUCUGAGAGGAGUAGCCCGGAGAUGGGUACUGAGACACGGACCCAGGCCCUAUGGGGCGCAGCAGGCGAGAAAACUUUGCAAUGUGCGAAAGCACGACAAGGUUAAUCCGAGUGGUUUCUGCUAAAGGAACCUUUUGUCAGUCCUAGAAACACUGAUGAAUAAGGGGUGGGCAAGUUCUGGUGUCAGCCGCCGCGGUAAAACCAGCACCUCAAGUGGUCAGGAUGAUUAUUGGGCCUAAAGCAUCCGUAGCCGGCUCUGUAAGUUUUCGGUUAAAUCUGUACGCUCAACGUACAGGCUGCCGGGAAUACUGCAAAGCUAGGGAGUGGGAGAGGUAGACGGUACUCGGUAGGAAGGGGUAAAAUCCUUUGAUCUAUUGAUGACCACCUGUGGCGAAGGCGGUCUACCAGAACACGUCCGACGGUGAGGGAUGAAAGCUGGGGGAGCAAACCGGAUUAGAUACCCGGGUAGUCCCAGCUGUAAACCAUGCAAACUCAGUGAUGCAUUGGCUUGUGGCCAAUGCAGUGCUGCAGGGAAGCCGUUAAGUUUGCCGCCUGGGAAGUACGUACGCAAGUAUGAAACUUAAAGGAAUUGGCGGGGGAGCACCACAAGGGGUGAAGCCUGCGGUUCAAUUGGAGUC